rnacentral:misc_RNA from 1 species
UGUAAUGUCCAUAAAAAAAAAACAGCAUAUAUAAAUCUUGAUAACAUCAGAGACAUUUGUAGAUCUAAGAGAGUAGCAUUAGCAUCUAUAGUUUAUCUUGCAGAUUUGAGUUGCUAAUAAAAAUAUUACAGAUUUGAUCAUUCAUACACGUUGAAAUGAAACAUUUUAUAAAAUAUUAAUACUUCAGCCUAUCGCAUUUUGCUUAGAUAAGUUACAAUUCAACAAAAACAUAUAUGUAUAUUGAUCUUCUAAAUUAAAGAUCCCAGCUUUGCCCAGAAACUAGCAACACCAAAUGGCAACAAAUCAUGAUCUAUUUAAAUAUAAUUGCCCAAAGUGUUAAUCAUAACCUAAAUACACUAUUCUUUCGAGAGCAAGUAAAUGUAUCUAGCGUCGGUAAGCGUAGUUGUUCAUAAUCAAUUAAAAUUAUCCUAACAUCACACCACCGAAUGGAAAAAAUUUUUCUUUUAGACACAGCCUUAUCCUUGGACAUCAUAUUUUCCUAAGGACAUACUAACAGCU